rfam:Danio rerio chromosome 25 genomic contig CTG2378, GRCz11 reference primary assembly.
CAAACGGCUCUUUUAAGAGCCACCCACAUAAUAGUAAAGAGCAUU